rnacentral:rRNA from 1 species
AUUGAACGCUGGCGGCAGGCCUAACACAUGCAAGUCGAGCGAGCGGCGGACGGGUGAGUAAGGCCUAGGAAUGUGCCUGCUGGAGGGGGAUGACUACUGGAAACGGUAGCUAAUACAGCAUACCAUCCGAUGGGCCCAGAUGGGAUUAGCUAGCAGGUGGGGUAACGGCUCACCUAGGCGACGAUCCCUAGCUGGUCUGAGAGGAUGACCAGCCACACUGGAACUGAGACACGGUCCAGACUCCUACGGGAGGCAGCAGUGGGGAAUAUUGCACAAUGGGCGCAAGCCUGAUGCAGCCAUGCCGCGUGUAUGAAGAAGGCCUUCGGGUUGUAAAGUACUUUCAGCGGGGAGGCGUUACCCGCAGAAGAAGCACCGGCUAACUCCGUGCCAGCAGCCGCGGUAAUUC